AUGGCGAUGCGGGGACGCGGGCGGCGGAGCCGUGGUCGGGGCCGUGGGGCGGUCGGGGCCGCGCGUGAUGGCGGCGCGGAGCAGCAGCAGGAGGAGCAGCAGGAGGAGGAGCAGCAGGAGCCGCCCCGCGUUGGUCACAGGGUGACCCGGUUCUGCCCGCAGUGCGGCGGCAGCGUGGAGCCCACCUUCAGGUUCUGCCCGGCCUGCGGCGACAGACUGCCGGCACCGCCGCCACCGAGGGACGCGGCCGGCCCGCCGCCACCGCAGGCCCCGAGCCCCGCGGCCGCCGCCGGGGGUGAGCGGAGCGCGGCCGUGCCGGUGCUCUCCCCGCCGGCCGCCCGCACCCCGCCCCGCCCGCCGUGUCUCGCGGCGCGGCGCGGUUCCCCCUCGCCCCGCAAGGCCCGGCCCGGUCCCGCCGAGCCGCUCCCGGAGGGCGAGGAGCUGCGGGACCGCGGCGCCGGGCGCUGGCGGCUGCGGCGGCUGCUGGAGCAGGGAGGCGGCUGCGGGCUGCUCUACGAAGCACAGUCAGCAUCUGGAACCUGCCCUCAAAAGCAAAGAUUCUCCCUCAAACUUGAUGUCAAAGACAGUAAAAUCUACAAUGAACAGAACUUUUUCCAGCGAGCUGCAAAGAAAGACAGAGUGGAGAAGUGGAAGAAGCUGCACUCUUUGCCCCUGCUGGGCAUCCCCAGCUGUCUUGGCUUUGGACUGCAUGCAGAUAAAUACAGGUUUUUGGUGUUCUCUGAUUUAGGGCGAUCUCUUCAGUCCAUUCUGAAUGACAACUUACACCUGAAUGAGAAGGCAGCUUUUCAGAUUGCAGUCCGGCUGCUGGAUUGCCUGGAGUACCUUCACGAAAAUGAGUACGUGCAUGGGGACAUCACAGCUGACAACAUCUAUGUGAACCCAGCAGACCUCACGCAGGUGACCCUCGCAGGCUACUACUUUGCCUUCCGUUACUGCCCAGAAGGGAAGCAUGUAGCUAGGCGUGAAGGCAGCAGGACUCCUCAUGAGGGCACAAUAGAGUUUAUCAGCCAGGACAGCCACAGGGGAGCAGCACCAUCUCGACGGAGUGACUUGGAAUCCCUGGGCUACUGUCUUCUGAAAUGGCUCUGUGGCUUCUUGCCUUGGUCUAAGGAGCUGGACAAAGUAGAAACUGUGAUGGAAAAGAAAGAAAUGUACAAAAAUGAUGUGACAUGCCUUCUCCAACAGUGCUUCAGCAGGCAGAGGUCGAUUCCAGCUGCCCUUCAGAGCUACCUGCAGCAAGUAAUGGCACUGGAAUAUGAGGAGAAGCCAAACUAUGAGGCCCUGCGGCAGCUCUUCAAAAAGCCACUGCAGAUGCUGAAAGCUUCAGCUUAUGACUCUGUGGAUAUCAUGGUAGUGCCCUAAGUCAAGAAAACUUGCACAGGACAACACAGUUCAGAGCUUUAUGCAGUGUGAAGCUUUUCCAAAAGAUGGCCCUCUCCCACCUGCUUGUGGUAUGGAUGUAAAUAGCCUUCAUCCCCCAGCUCAGCAGAGGUGAACGGAUACCAGCCAUAAAAGCAACACAGAGGGCCAUUCAGAGAUGUAAAAACAAAUUUUAUAUUAAAAAACAAACAAACAAACAAGCACUACAUCCUAUCUGAACUGUUGCCACCUGCCACAGUAACUUCUAGAUAAAGGAAGAGUUGUGGAGUCCAGUUCCAGUGUUAAAAUCAUUGACAAUUCAUGAAAGUCAUAAAAACAAGUAAAGAACAUUAAAAUACCAACACAUAAAAAGAAGGCUAUUUUCCUAAUGUAGGCAGGCUGAAGGAGCUUUAACCCAGGAUGGCUAGGCUGAGGUCAGUGUAGGAAGUUCCUUCAAAGCCCUACUUGAUACAGUACAGAAGAUUGCAAUUUUAAUGAAAGCAUAUGCUCCCCUUGUGGACUAGGAUGCAGUUGCAAGGCUUAAAUUAGGGCUUUCAGACAGUUUGCCCUUACUGCAUUGCUGCCUGCUUCUAGUGUUUAAGUGAGGUGUGCUUUACUGAAGGCCACGUUCAUGGAAAUAGCAAGGAAAACAGGCAGUGAAGGCAGGCCAUGGACUGGAGGUGGCAGUUAAACCACACUGCUGCAGCAUGGGCUAACAGUUCACAGUACUGUAGCAUUGGGCAGUGAAGCAGUAAGGCACAGGAGGAUAACAUUUCAGGGAAGGAACACAUGGCAACUGAGGCCUGAGUCAAAUAGGGUUUUUAAAACCAUGAGAGGUAGGUUAAAAAAAAGCUCAGACCUGCAAUGAGCCUUCAUUUACCUCUUGACUGUAUCGAUAAAAACCUUACGUCAGUGCAGGAGAAGAUAUAUACAUAGAAGAGGGAAGCACCAGCUGACUUGAAACAGUACCUGGCUAAAAUUAAAAUGCAGCAUAACCACACAGAGGUCUACCAACUUCAAGCAUAGUGUUACAUCCAGUAACUUUGUGACCAAAGCAAAUUCCUUUCUUUCAUGGUGCCAGGCCUCACAGUGAAGCAGGGGAGAGGACAAGGUCAUUCUCAAGGAAUAGUUGGCGAGGUAUGACACAAGCCAUGAAGUUAACCUCCCUCUCAGUCUAUGAAACUUGGAGAGAAUCAGAAAAGAGGAAAUACUUUUAAAAACGCAGUUAUCAAGGAUGGAAAAAGGCCAGAAGUGAGAUACAGAAUUAAGAGACAGGCUUACAGAAUGUGGUAGGAAUAGGCAAAGUUAAGGGAAAGGGCUCUUUCUGGAGGUAUUGACAAUUAUUCACUAUCAUUCCUGUACAACUAUGACAGAAAUGCUGUUUCCAGAAAACCUAGAAAGCAUGAAAUCAGAGGCUUAAGAAGCCCAAGUUCACCCUUUCUUCACUGUGUUCUGCCAGGUUUUUGCGCUUGACUUGCCUUCGGGCAGAAUUCCUAUCACCAGCUCUAGCAUGCACUGAUGGCAAAUGUGAUUCCAGGUAGGGGGGCAGGCAUGGCUCCUUCUUCAUGGCACUGCCACCAGACAGUGCUGAGGUAGGUUUGAGAGGUAUUCCGCAGCUGCCUUCCACGGAAGAUGUAGGACUGGCACCACUGACAGAAGAGUAGCCUGAGCUCCCUUCACAGCUGGGAUUUCUUGAGGCAACACAGGCUGAAAAAACUCUGUGAGUUUCAUCUGGAGUCCUGGCCUUCCUUGGCGGUGCUGCGUGCCCAGGACACUCGACAGAGAGGCUGUCCUCAUCACUGGAGUCCUGACAGCAGUGCUCUGCUGGAUCCACGUACACCACUGUCACAUCCAGGAUUCCACUGGGACUGGUGACUGAGGGAUGAGAGAAGGAAAAGGCCAGUCAGAAUUUGGGCAACACCAAGCUAACAGUCAAGCAGAGAAAAAAAGUGCAAGUGUAAACCUUGUCGAGAGGGGAGGGCAAGGGUAGAGCUUACCCUCAUUAAAGUAAUUUAAUAUUUCCCUCUCGCCCUGUUUGGAGAGGUACUGCCCAACUUGGAAAAUGAAAGGCCAGAGCCUGUGCGUCAAUAAAACAACAGCUGACAGCGUUCCAACACUGCCUACAGUGCGACCCAUUCAAGGCUGGUUAUGCUGUAGCAGCAUCUGAAAACACUGUCUUGGAAAUGCUGAGUGGCUGCAAAAUCCUUAAGUUCUGAAGCAGUGAAGAGAAGAAAUGUACUCCUAAAAGUUUAACAACUAUAACCACUGGGGGGAGAAGGAGAGUUUCCCCAGCUGCUCUUAGGAAAGUUUAGGCUCUUCUGGUGCUCCCAGGAGUUUUAUGUAAAAAUAAAAAGGUGGGUUUUCAGGUUC